GUUAUACAAUUGAUGAAAAUUAAUAUUUUUGGUUAAAUGGAGUUAAUUUUUUUUUUUGAGUUUAGUUUUUUUAUUUUUGGGUGAAAUUUAAAUUUAGUUUAAUCUUUUUUAAGUUCCUUCUAAAUUUUAAUUUUAAACUAGGAUUAGAUACCCUAUUAUUUUAAAUGUUAAAUUUUACCUGGGUAGUAUUAGUUAUUUUCUUGAAACCUAAAGAAUUUGGCGGUAUUUUAGUCUUUUCAGAGGAACUUGCCCCUUAAUCGAUAGUCCUCGUUUUAUCUUUCUUUGUUUUGUUUUCAGUAUGUAUAUCGCCGUUAUAAGUUUAUUUUAUUAGAUUUUAAUUUACUAAUUUUAUUAUUUUAAUUUAUUUC
rnacentral:rRNA from 1 species